GCUUGGUAAAGUGAAGAAUGUGAGGAUCACGAGAGGCGGGCUGGUUUAGAUUUUUUUGCGGAUCAGAAGUAAUGUGCGUUGUGUCUUAACCAAUUUGAUAAGUUUGAAGUGUUAUUUGUGUCUCUUCGGAAUAGGGCAUCCCUCACGGGGGUUAUAUCUGGCAUCUCGUGGGAAGUCCGUUUUGAAGAGAUGAAGAAUAUUCCUGGAGUGAUUGAAGCAUUUCGGAUGAAUCGUGUGGUGAAUGGUGAAAAAUUGAAGGGUCUAUCUGAUCUUUUAGUUUUUUGGAGUCUCUCCUACUCAAAUGCAGUUGGGGUAUAUAAACUACAGAGAUAUGUUGCAAUUGUGGUGGGAACCAUGAAGCCACGUCUUUCGAAUGCCCCGCAAGAGUGAAAGAGAAUGAGGUGGCCAAAGUCAGGGCUGUACAGAGCAUUUCAUAUGCAGCAGCUGUUAAAAGGGCUGAGGGUUUGAAAGGUGCACCAGAAGAGAGUCCAUGGUGGUGGAUAAGCCUUCACUGCAAGCUGCAGGGGUUGACUUUCACCAGCAGGAGCCAGACAUUUUAAAGGUUAAGAAGGUGGCCUUUAUAGCUAUGGUGAUAAAUGCCACUGCCAAGGUGGAGAGCAGGUCCAGGAAGAUAGAAAUUAUUGUGGAUGUGGCGGAGCGAUUCCUGGAGCUGAAAGAUUUUUGGUGAAGGAGCUACAUGGAAUAUAUUCACAAGCAGUACCACCCUCUGGGGCCCUACAUCCUGAGAAGUUUCAACCUGUCCAGUUGGUGGCGGCAAUACACCUUUUUGGGUUGUAGUCCGCCAUAAAACCCACAGAAGCAGAAGAAGAAUACAAACGAAGAAGACCGACACAUCCAAGCUGUCCAUUUUCAUGCUCUGGCAUAUUCCUUUCAACCUGUUCGUCGUUACCCCCUAGUUACUGCCAGGUCCUUUUGCGCAAAAUAAUGUAGUUGUAGACAGUUUACACUGCAGGCUGAACAAUUCCGAGUGGUACACUUGUGUCAACUGCACUGCCCACGGUCACAGUGUCGAUAUGUUGCAAAUAAGCAGCCCUACAUGACCUGGGUGUAGGUGGUGAGCCGGGACAACUACCUUGUAUAUUAUUAACCACAGGUUCUUCACCAUGCUCUGUGAAGAGGGAGUCCUUUUGGAGGUGGCCAUGCUAUCUCUGAAGGACGUACGGGCAGAAAGUUUGGAGCGCCCAAUAAACAGCAGGUGCCAUAACGUACUAGGCAUUGUUUACAUUUUCGAAACGCUAGUAAGGAGUUAGCUAGCAAAAUAUAGAUUAUCCUGCAUUGGCACAGCCCUGUUUGAUCGUAUUGAUGUGCAUUGAUUGAGUGAAAGUGGAGAUGUCAUAACCGGCAAUGAAUGUAAACAAAACCUAAUCUGAGGCAGUGAGUUUGUUUGCUAGGAAAGCUAGCGAAAUAACUAAGUGAAGUCUGGUAAAUUGUCGACUCCACAAGUUGCCAAGACAGUUAGAUAGUUGUUUACAACCACUCUAAAGUGUUUUGCUGGCGACUGUAAUGACAGGAGAGUUUGACAUUUUACAGAUCGUGACACAAUCCACUUUCAGUGCCUAUUUUUUUGUAGGGUACCUUGCAUCCAUUCCAAGAUCGCGCACAGUCUGAUAAUCUAUAAUUAGCUAUUAUCUUAUUACCAUACUUUUGAUUACUGUUACAAUCAAGCAUUCUAUUGUAAGGACCUCGUGAAUUUCUCACAAUAAGGGCGCAUUUAAUAAUCAUGCAUAUUUCAGUCUUUACAGAUUGUGAAUGCCUAUAGGCAAUUCACCAUGUGGGCAAGAGGACACUUGGGGAAGAGGAACAGAGUGCCUAUACCUGGCUGUGUGGUACAUUGAAACCGAUCACAAUUCACUUCUAAGGAGUGCUACAGAUUUGAAUAUGCUUUUUAUGAUUGAAACAUUUGACCUGCUCAUGCAGCCUACUUUACAUGUUGUUUAUUGUUCAUCUGUUUUAUGCAGCCUACUGUAGUAAAUUGUGUAAUGAAAAACAAAAUGGCUAUUACGUAUGAAUUUCUCCAUGCUAAAUGUCUUUAAGCAAUUUCAUUUAUUCCACCACCACCAAAUGGUUCCCUAUAGAGUAUAUACGAAAGGCUUGCCUCUCGAGCUGUUCUCAUUUUAGGUAUGACGUCUCUCCCUGCAGAGUGCGCACGCGAGCACCUUUGCAAGUUCACAAUUAUUGUAAAGAACUAAUGGCGC
ensembl:lncRNA